UACGGAGGGUGCAAGCGUUGUCCGGAAUCACUGGGCGUAAAGGGCGCGUAGGCGGCUCGGUAAGUAGGGGGGGUGAAAUCCUGCGGCUUAACCGCAGGGCUGCCUUCUAAACUGUCGAGCUCGAGCACGGUAGAGGCAGAUGGAAUUCCCGGUGUAGCGGUGGAAUGCGUAGAGAUCGGGAAGAACAUCAGUGGCGAAGGCGGUCUGCUGGGCCGUUGCUGACGCUGAGGCGCGACAGCGUGGGGAGCAAACAGG
rnacentral:rRNA from 1 species